AAAUAAGAAGCAAACAUUUGCAGUUAGUUUCGACCUAAUCCCUGAUAUUAAUUUAUCCUUAUUUA
rnacentral:tRNA from 1 species